AACGCACAUUGCGCCCCCUGGCAUUCCGGGGGGCAUGCCUGUCCGAGCGUCAUUGCUGCCCAUCAAGCCCGGCUUGUGUGUUGGGUCGUCGUCCCCCCCGGGGGACGGGCCCGAAAGGGAGCGGCGGCACCGUGUCCGGUCCUCGAGCGUAUGGGGCUUUGUCACCCGGCUCGGGUAGGUCCGGCCUGCCGCCAGCCGACGUCUACAACCAUUUUUCUACAGAUUGACCUCGGAUCAGGUAGGGAUACCCGCUGAACUUAA
rnacentral:misc_RNA from 1 species